UCUUAAAAAAAAAAAAAAAAAUUUAGGUUUUAGGUUUUACAAAAUUGACAAAAAAAAAAUUUUAGGUUUUUUUUAUGUCUCACAAUUUUU
rnacentral:ribozyme from 1 species